CGAGUGANCGGCAACAGCUCAAAUUUGAAAUCUGGCACUUUCGUUGUCCGAGUUGUUAUUUGUAGAAGUUUUUUUGGGGCUGGCCCUUGUUUUUGUUCCUUGGAACACGACGUCAUAGAGGGUGAGAAUCCCGGGUGGCGAGGAUCCCACCCCUUUGUNAAACGCUUUCAAAAAGUCAAGUUGUUUGGGAAUGCACCUCUAAUGGGGUGGUAAAUUCUUCCUAAAGCUAAAAAUUGGCAAGAGACCGAUAGCGAACAAUUACAGGGAUGGAAAAAUAAAAAGAACUUUGAAAAAAAAGUGAAAAACUACGUGAAAUUGUGAAAAGGGAAGGGCAUUUGAUCAAACAUGUUGUUUGGACCCCCUGCUCUCCUUGUGGGUGCAGGCCACUCUUUUCACUGGGCCAACAUUUCUUUUGGCAGCUAGAUGAAUCGCCAAGGACGUCUCUGCCCUCGGGGAGGGGUACUGCCUGGUGGAGUACUGCUAGCCGGCACUGAUGACUGCCUCUUUUGACAAGGAUGUUGGCAUAAUGGUUAAAUGCCGCC
rnacentral:rRNA from 1 species